UUACCUUCGGGUAUUGAGGAUGGCGGACGGGUGAGUAACGCGUAAGGAACUUGCCUCUUGGUCUGGGACAACUGUUGGAAACGACAGCUAAUACCGGAUAUUAUGAGAUUCUCGCAUGGGAAACUUAUGAAAGCUAUAUGCGCCAAGAGAGAGCCUUGCGUUCCAUUAGCUAGUUGGUGGGGUAACGGCCCACCAAGGCGACGAUGGAUAGCCGGCCUGAGAGGGUGAACGGCCACAAGGGGACUGAGACACGGCCCUUACUCCUACGGGAGGCAGCAGUGGGGAAUAUUGGACAAUGGGCCACAAGCCUGAUCCAGCAAUUCUGUGUGCACGAUGAAGGUCUUCGGAUUGUAAAGUGCUUUCAGUUGGGAAGAAGAAAGUGACGGUACCAACAGAAGAAGCGACGGCUAAAUACGUGCCAGCAGCCGCGGUAAUACGUAUGUCGCAAGCGUUAUCCGGAUUUAUUGGGCGUAAAGCGCGUCUAGGCGGAAAAAUAAGUCUGAUGUUAAAAUGCGGGGCUCAACUCCGUAUUGCGUUGGAAACUGUUUUUCUAGAGUACUGGAGAGGUGGGCGGAACUACAAGUGUAGAGGUGAAUUCGUAGAUAUUUGUAGGAAUGCCGAUGGAGAAGUCAGCUCACUGGACAGAUACUGACGCUAAAGCGCGAAAGCGUGGGGAGCAAAC
rnacentral:rRNA from 1 species